UAAUUUAUACGGGCGCGGAAUGGAAUGGAAGCGACUUUUUGCAACGAAACUGUACAUAGCACAAAAAACUUUUGUCAUCAGCAUA